GCGACCCCAAGUCAGGCGGGACUACCCGCUGAAUUUAAGCAUAUAAAUA
rnacentral:rRNA from 1 species